rnacentral:rRNA from 1 species
UACGGGGGGGGGCAAGCGUUGUUCGGAAUUACUGGGCGUAAAGGGCUCGUAGGCGGCCAACUAAGUCGGAUGUGAAAUCCCCAGGCUUAACCUGGGAACUGCAUCCGAUACUGGAUGGCUUGAAUCCGGGAGAGGGAUGCAGAAUUCCAGGUGUAGCGGUGAAAUGCGUAGAUAUCUGGAGGAAUACCGGUGGCGAAGGCGGCAUCCUGGACCGGCAUUGACGCUGAUGAGCGAAAAGCUAGGGGGAGCAAAACGGG